CUUCAUUUUCCCAACCCAUUUAUUUUCCAUUCCUCAAAUGGGUAAUCUGUUUCUAAUGGCCUUUGGAUCAACGGCCCACUAAAUAUCUCUUAUUUAGCCCAAUUUAAAAUACAAUCUGUGCAUUUCCUCUAAUAGAUUUUUCCACGUUCCUAAUUUCUGGGUUUAGCUCCUAUGUACUGAGGUGUACACCUCCCUUCACUUCUCUAUUUGACUAAGUAUGCAUUUACCGUUCAAUUUCCGAAUAUUCCUAAUAUUUCUAAUUUGUUCAGUUCUGUCCCAGCAUCUAUUUCUUCUAUUGUAGUCCUAUUCUACAACCUCCCUAACCGCAUGUACCAUUUUCUUGUCAUUCAAUCAUGUUUUACUUUACUUUUGUUUUCUGUGAUUUCCCAUCAGUUAGUUUUCCCUUCCCCUUUACGAAUUUCCUUUCUCCUAAAUUUGGAGUUCAACGCUAAUUCACUGAUCAGUACCCAUCCCUUAAUUUUUCUGUUAUGCAAUUUCCAGGAUUUUUAUCCAUAUUCAUAGUACAUUUCAUUUAGGUUUUAUACAGUCCCUUAAAUUUCUAAGCCAUUCCCAGACCUCCAAAACCAGUUUCUAUGCUUAGCUACACUGAUCAGUGCGCCUAUAUACUGAUCAGGAUUAUUAUUUUUACUGUGAUCCUCAAUGAGGGCCGAGGGUCCAUUUCUUAAAUUGGCUUUGCCUACUACAGGAAGGUAACUGAAAACCCAAGCAAGCUUUUCUCUUAAUUUUUUUUUUCAAUUUCCCAUCUGGUUCAGCUACCCAUCACUCUCCUAGGUCUAAUAAUUUACUAGACUUUAACGAGGAUGCUAAUAAGUUCAACUACAGACCAAAUUUAGUGCAGAAAUCAUACAUACAGCAUUGGAAAUUUCAUAUUUUGCUAAAACCGAAGGUAUUUGGUUAAAUCUUAAACUAAUUCUGAUUUUAGCGAAAUAAAUCUCUUCUAGAUUUAAGUUCUAAGCGUCCCAAUCAUAGAUAUGGGUUAAAAGAGUAAAUAAAUCUUACCGGAAGUUCAAACAGAAAAAAAGCUCACUCAGAUCAGAGGGCGUCGCCCUUCCUCCGGCAAAAACAAGCUCGAUACCGCGGCUGGCACUUCCCGCAUCGCGGGCAGCACCUCGAUUGCGUCGCACGACCAACAGGUCUUUUUCCCUCCUUCGCGACCAACGAGUCGCGCAGCACUGCGCAACCCUUCUCUUCCCGACAGACGCUCACUCCUCACGCGCCAAGGCUCCUCCUCUUUCUCUUCUGUCGUAUCUCUCUCUUCCCUCUCUCGGCUCCGAUGCCACUUGGGUUCCCCUUGCGGCUAGGGUUCUCCUUCCCUCUCAAGGAGCUGAAAAAUGAAGCAUUUAUAUGAGCUUCAGGGAACCAUCGGAUCUGCAAAGCAAGAUCUGGGUCGUUCAUCCCUAGACCCUGCCUUCUGUCCGCACGCGUAGCCAAAUGGCCUGGCCCGUCUUGACACCUCACUUGCUGAGGUGUCCAGGACUUCUUAAAAUUCUACUUAGGCCCCAUUGUUUUGAAUAUCGAAUUCAUUUUGGUCCUUUUUAAU
rnacentral:lncRNA from 1 species